UGAUAGAGGUGCGAACGUCAAGAGUAUUUCUUCCCAUAUGACAGGCACAGGGAAGGGAGAAAGGGGCUUUCGCCGAGGUUCCGGACGUCUCAGCCUGGAGGCGCGGAGUCGGGUCGUGGGAGAAGAUCUCACGGACUGUCGUCCCUUUAUUGGGGACGGAGCGCUGUCGU
rnacentral:ncRNA from 1 species